ensembl:lncRNA
CGGACAUCUUCACGCACGGGGUUUGGUUUGUUUAAACAGCCUGCGUUGAUUCCCGGCCAAACGUAAGCGGUUGGUUAUGUCAGAUCCAGAGUGGCACUGGGCAGAUCCAAUAGUUUUAAACUUCAACAGACACCCGCCUUCAAUGGACCUCCUGGAAUACACUUCUAAAAUGCGAUUCUUACCCAUUGUGAACAUGUUGAAAGGAUGCCGAUUGGCUGUUGGAUGCUGGAGCCCGAUAGUGAUUCUGCUCGAACAAAUCUGCUGCAGCAGCACUGACCACUCGGCUGGCUGCGUGGUUCUUCCCUCUUGCACCAUCCAAUUAAAUCCUCAACGAUCAAAUCACCUGCAUGCUGUGGGUGGCAAGAGAUGAAGGAGCAGCAGCAGAGAAGCCAUGUCACUGUCCCAGCCUAUCAGGGGGGAGAUGCAACACAAAACAAGUCAUCAGUAUCUACUUGGAAGGCACAAAGUAAAGAGCACUAGCUAUUUGGAAUGAAAACCAACAUUGCACACUUAAUAGUGUCAUCAUUCUCCGUAGGUUUCUCAGCAGCAUUCAGAAGUCGGCACAGCUCUUUUGACUGAGUCAGUUGUUUGGCCUCUUUGAUAACCUUGUUCUUUAAUGCCGUGUCCCAUUUUUCAAACAUCUUGGAUGCUGUUUCACCACCAAACAGCAGCAGUAAGUCUUGAUUCAGCUUUUGAUCAUACACAUGUGAAUACAUUACUCUAAUGGUCAGAGCAUAGUUAACUACUGGAAACCAACCAAAUUAAAGACAAGAGUUUG